GGAGCUGUGGUGUGAGGCUAACAUGCCUGCCUGUCACGCAGGAGACCGCGGGUUCGAAUCCCGUCAGCUCCGCCA
rnacentral:tRNA from 1 species